UACGGGGGGGGGUAAGCGUUGUUCGGAAUUACUGGGCGUAAAGGGCUCGUAGGCGGCCAACUAAGUCAGACGUGAAAUCCCUCGGCUUAACCGGGGAACUGCGUCUGAUACUGGAUGGCUUGAGUUUGGGAGAGGGAUGCGGAAUUCCAGGUGUAGCGGUGAAAUGCGUAGAUAUCUGGAGGAACACCGGUGGCGAAGGCGGCAUCCUGGACCAACACUGACGCUGAGGAGCGAAAGCCAGGGGAGCAAACGGG
rnacentral:rRNA from 1 species